CAAGAAUUUGUUUACAAGGAGCCUGCAAUAACCAAACUUGCAGAGAUAUCUCACAGAUUGGAGUGUAGUGGAUGGACCGGAAGCAUUGGGUUCACCUGGGAGAUUGUUUGAAAUGCAGAACCUCAG
rnacentral:sRNA from 1 species